rnacentral:rRNA from 1 species
AACAAACGCUGGCGGCGUGCCUAACACAUGCAAGUCGUACGAGAAAGUCGGCUUCGGCCGAUGAGUACAGUGGCGCACGGGUGAGUAGCGCGUGGGUAAUCUGCCCCCCGGUCAGGAAUAACCCGCCGAAAGGCGGGCUAAUACCCGAUAACACUGACGCUCCGCGGAGCGUCUUUCAAAGAAGGCCUCUGUUUACAAGCUUUCGCCGGAGGAUGAGCCCGCGUACCAUUAGCUAGUUGGCAGGGUAAUGGCCUACCAAGGCUACGAUGGUUAGCUGGUCUGAGAGGAUGGCCAGCCACACUGGAACUGAGACACGGUCCAGACUCCUACGGGAGGCAGCAGUGAGGAAUCUUGCGCAAUGGGGGAAACCCUGACGCAGCAACGCCGCGUGAGUGAGGAAGGCCUUCGGGUCGUAAAGCUCUGUCAGAAGGGAAGAAAUGGAUGGGGCGUAAUAUCGCCAUCCUUGACGGUACCAUCAGAGGAAGCACCGGCUAACUCCGUGCCG